rnacentral:rRNA from 1 species
GCUUACGGCCAUACCCUGAACACGCCCGAUCUCGUCCGAUCUCGGAAGCUAAGCAGGGUCGGCCCUGGUUAGUACUUGGAUGGGAGACCGCCUGGGAAUACCAGGUGCUGUAAGCU